rnacentral:rRNA from 1 species
GACGAACGCUGGCGGCGUGCCUAAUACAUGCAAGUCGAACGCAUUUUCUUUCACCGUAGCUUGCUACACCGAAAGAAAAUGAGUGGCGAACGGGUGAGUAACACGUGGGUAACCUGCCCAUCAGCGGGGGAUAACACUUGGAAACAGGUGCUAAUACCGCAUAAUUCCAUUUACCGCAUGGUAAAUGGAUGAAAGGCGCUUUUGCGUCACUGAUGGAUGGACCCGCGGUGCAUUAGCUAGUUGGUGGGGUAACGGCCUACCAAGGCUGCGAUGCAUAGCCGACCUGAGAGGGUGAUCGGCCACACUGGGACUGAGACACGGCCCAGACUCCUACGGGAGGCAGCAGUAGGGAAUCUUCGGCAAUGGACGCAAGUCUGACCGAGCAACGCCGCGUGAUUGAAGAAGGUUUUCGGAUCGUAAAACUCUGUUGUUAGAGAAGAACAAGGAUGAGAGUGGAAAGUUCAUCCCUUGACGGUAUCUAACCAGAAAGCCACGGCUAACUACGU